AAGCAUGUCAAAUGCCCCUAAAUACCUGGCAGAAGCUAGAAAAGGUUCUCGAUUUGGGAAUGAUACUAUUGUUGAUGGUAUGCUCAAAGAUGGCUUGUGGGAUGCAUAUAAUGAUUUUGCCAUGGGGAUGUGUGCUGAGAUAUGUUCUGAUAAUCAUUCAAUCACAAGAGAAGAACAGGAUUCCUAUGCUGUUCAGAGCAAUGAACGGGGAAUUGCUGCCCGAAAUGGUGGUGCCUUCACAUGGGAGAUAGUUCCGGUAGAAGUUUCUGCAGGUAGAGGAAGAUCACCUGUUAUUGUUGACAGGGAUGAAGGCUUAGAAAAAUUUGAUCCGACGAAACUAAGGAAGCUCCGCCCAAG
rnacentral:misc_RNA from 1 species